rnacentral:rRNA from 1 species
CGGGUGAGUAAUACAUCGGAACGUGUCCUAUCGUGGGGGAUAACUGAUCGAAAGAUCAGCUAAUACCGCGUAAGACCUGAGGGUGAAAGUGGGGGAUCGCAAGACCUCACGCGAUUGGAGCGGCCGAUGCCCGAUUAGCUAGUUGGUGAGGUAAAGGCUCACCAAGGCGACGAUCGGUAGCUGGUCUGAGAGGACGACCAGCCACACUGGGACUGAGACACGGCCCAG